UGGCUGUAGGAAAGGACAGAAGAUUAGCAUUCUCCUGGAGAGGGAUGGAGAAGCUCUCAGUGGCCUUUACAGCACAUAUACAGGCAAGGCAUGGCCACAUAUUCCAUAACCUCUCAACAUGGUUUU